AUGAACGCUAGCGGGAGGCCUAAUACAUGCAAGUCGAGCGGUAGAGUGACUUCGGUUGCUUGAGAGCGGCGCACGGGUGAGUAACGCGUACAUGACCUACCUUUAAGACUGGGAUAGCCCUGGGAAACUGGGAUUAAUACCGGAUGUGAUAAUACGUAUAGAGAUGUAUUAUUAAAGUUGAGGCGCUUAGAGAUGGAUGUGCGUCUGAUUAGCUAGUUGGUAGGGUAACGGCCUACCAAGGCGACGAUCAGUAGGGGGCGUGAGAGCGUGGCCCCCCACACGGGUACUGAGACACGGACCCGACUCCUACGGGAGGCAGCAGUAAGGAAUAUUGGUCAAUGGACGGAAGUCUGAACCAGCCAUCCCGCGUGCAGGAUGACUGCCCUAUGGGUUGUAAACUGCUUUUAGCAGAGACGAAACGCCUUCAUUUAUGAGGGUCUGACGGUAUCUGCAGAAUAAGCACCGGCUAACUCCGUGCCAGCAGCCGCGGUAAUACGGAGGGUGCAAGCGUUAUCCGGAAUCACUGGGUUUAAAGGGUGCGUAGGCGGAUAUUUAAGUCAGUGGUGAAAUCUUGUCGCUUAACGAUAAAAUUGCCAUUGAUACUGAAUGUCUUGAAUUGGGUUGAGGUUAGCGGAAUGUGACAUGUAGCGGUGAAAUGCAUAGAUAUGUCAUGGAACACCAAUUGCGAAGGCAGCUAGCUGGGCCUUGAUUGACGCUGAGGCACGGAAGCGUGGGUAGCGAACAGGAUUAGAUACCCUGGUAGUCCACGCCCUAAACGAUGCUAACUCGAUGUUUGGACGUAAGUUUGAGCAUCCAAGGGAAACCGAUAAGUUAGCCACCUGGGGAGUACGACCGCAAGGUUG
rnacentral:rRNA from 1 species